AGUCUUCACGCUGGAAGCUUUCCGGGGAGGGUCAGUAAUGGCCGCCGAGCCCUCUAUUGGCUUAUUGGCUGAGCUCAUUGAUGAAGAAGCCUUGAGUUCGUCACUUUCUCUUCUUUAAUUGCUGAGGUGGCCGUCAUUGAAGAUGACAGAGCAUUUCUGAACGACACAUGGGAAUCAUUAACCAGCCCAAUAAAAUGAUCUAUUUAUGUAGAGUUCCUUGGACAGCCCAGAGAAGGACUCCACCUUCAUUGUUCCUCUCUACUGUCCCCCGACCUACCAAAAUACAACAACCAGGGUCAUCUUCAGACAGAAGGCACACAGGCAGUAUCAUAGAGAGGCUCAUGGUUCCAACCCCUAGAGCCAUCCCGAGGUUAGACUCAGGGCACAACCAUCAGACGAAGUGGGAGGAAGAAACAUUAACUUCAACAGCUGUUUCUUGACCCCGGCUGUCAGUCUUCCCAAGAAUAAAUUUUGGAGAGUCCUAUUUGAAACAAAGAGGGAGUUUUGGGGAAGAGAAAAGUUGGUUGGUUCCAGGGCAUUCGCCCAAAGAAGCAGGGAACAAGAUGUUUGCAGUUACCACGCAGCCUGCAAGCCUCUGCCGGGUGCAGGGAAGGAGCAAAGUAACUUGAAAGCUCCCCUCUCGGCGCCCUGUGCCUGCAGCUUCCCCCCCUAACGCGCGCCCAGAUCCAGCGCCGGUGGUAAGAGCCGAAGCUCGACUACAGUAAUUCCCCAGCUCGGGCGGCUUGAAACUGCUCGGGCUGAAUAGCAUUUGCUGUUCCGUCCUGUGGCAGCCUCCCGCCGCCGCUGCCGCGCUCCCUGCAAAGCAGCUCUCAUUAUCCCGGAAGUUGUGCUGACACAGUCUCGCUGCCACCAGAAGUUUGUCAACAUCAAACUUCUCCUGUGUGGGGUACGUUCACCUUCCACGAGUAUUUAAUCGAGCCAACAAGCAAACAAACAAACCCAAAUAAACCUGCCCGUGAUGUCA